GCAAACUCAUUCUCUUUCUGUUUGCCUCUGUCUUCUAGAAGAAGAGAUGUUUUUGAGAGAAAAAAAAGUUUGGGGAACUGAAGCAACAAUGUUUGCUUUUCCAAAGGGUGAAAGAUGAACUCGAGAAUAGGAGAGAGUUUAUUUUUCUUAUUCAACUCUACCUAUAAUUUCAAGUGAAAUGAUUUCCUGAAAUGUUAAGUUUGAAAUAUUGAGCUAAGAAGAAUCAAGCAUUACAGGGAGGCACAAAGCACUGCGCAGAAGCUGCACCAAUCGUUGCCAUCAACUGGCAGCCGAAUGGUAGAAUGGGAGAGACCCGGAAUCCUUCCAGGCUGCGCUGGCUUGAGAAAUGACGACUGCAUGCGUUCGUCUCCCGAACCGAAGGGGUGAAAAGGCUGGGUGCCAGUUUCCUACUCGGCUGCAAUGAUCUCAUGCUCACUGCUCUGUCGUCCUGUUCGACCAGUUCAAAUGCCUGUUCAUUAUAAACCAAAUACAUACAUAAAUAAAUAACCCAACUACUUGGAUUAUUCAGUACCCCAAAAGGAUAUUAAUAUAAAAUCAAAAGAUAAAUCAGCAGUUCAGAAAAGAAAGAAAAAACACAUACAAUUUUAGGAUUCACUUGCUAUGCCUCAAUAUUCUGUUAUUAUUUUCCUUUUCUCUCUCUCUUUAGAGAUAAGCAGCAGAAUUUAUCAGGCGUGAAAGGGACAGCCUCCUGGUGGCCUGCCAAAAACCCAGAAUAAAGGCGAAGUUGUGCUUCAAAGCUCAGUUGCUUGCUGAGUCUGGCUAAAGUCAAGUAUUAAGAUCCACCAUUUUCUGAUCCUUGCUGGAGAAGAAGAAAAAAGUCAGGCCCGUUUACUGCUUCCAAGUCUCCGUUGGCACCAUCACAAAAUCUCAGUCGUCAGGUCACAUGAUUCUCUGCCAAAUGUAGAGUGAGUGCAUUCCCAUCAACCAUUCUGCUGAUACUGCGAAGGCAGCUAUUGUCUCGUUUAGACCCAAAGUUCAGCCCACUCUUCAUUGAAUUAGCUGAAAAACGCAUCACCUUUGGGGGCUGGGAGUCAUGGAAACGUCUACCUGGCAAGCUGCCCACUUUUCCUGCCCAUCAACCAGAGAUGGGAUUGUGCUGCCUAAAGCAGUCAUGACUUGGAAUGUGAAGAGCCGUCCAAAGUGAAUCUCAUUCUUGAAACGCUUGUUUCAUUUGCACAGAAAACUCAAGCUAGUAGUUGAGAGAGAGAGAGAGAGAAAGAGAGAGAGGAAAGACAGAGAAAGAGAGAGAGAGAGAAGAGAGAGAGAGAGAAAGAGAGAAUAUUUUUCCUAUCAAAAGUAGCAAAUAAAGGUCUGAACAUGCCUACUUCACAACUUUUUUUCUCAAUACACCCAAACGGUUCUCAAAUAAGACUGAAUGCCCUGCACACUUUCUUCAUUAAAGGCAUCGCUAAUUUUUCUUUACCGAACAUGCAACGAACCCAGGACGUUUGUUUUAUUCUCCUACUUUUAAGACUUCAAAGCAAAACAAAACAAAAUCUCUGAGUUUUCCUUUUUGCAUUUUCAUUACUUUCUGAUUUUAUCUAGCACCAAAUUUGUGCUACAUGGUCACAAUAUCCACUAGCAAAAGAGACGUAUUAUUGCUACCAUCUCCAACAAAGUGGUCCCCUGAGAGGCUGGGUUGUCUCUUCCAGCAGGCAAACCCCUGCAACUGGGUCUUGUGAUAAUCCGCAUCACCACCUAGCACAGCUGCUAUGCAAGUUUGCAGAGACUGACACAUUUGAGAAGUGUUCUUUCUGUUCUCUCAUGGCUACAGUUUGCCUCUGUGUCAUGAAAGAUGCCUUUGAAAGAUGCAGGGAGUGAGUGUAUCAACAGCUCUUAGGCUAUAAAACGAAUUGCUUCCCCCUCCCUGGUGAAUUUCUAUUCCGGCACGCAAUAAGAGUUCCCAUGUAUAACCAUUUCUAUACUUUCUAUCAAAAGUGGAGUGAAUUCAGUCUUUAAAUAUUUCCUUAAUCAAAAUCUAAAGCCAAGUAGGAAAGUAAGCAUUAACAGUUAAUCCAAAGAUAAAGUGCACAAUUUAAAAGAUGUAUAUUUUCAUAGGCCAUUGAAAAAUUUGCAGUGAUUGUAUCUAAUGUAAAUUAUGUUUGCAAGAAGUCUCAAAUUAUGUUCAAUACCUUAUCUGAAUAAUGGGUCUGCAUCCCUCGCCAGGAAUACACAUAUAUUAAAUAAUAUUGGACAAUUCAAACCAUGACUUGCCUAAACAUUAUUUUUUGAAAGUCAGGGAACUAGGAAAUGUCCAGUCAAUGGUUUUAAGGGUUCCUGUCCUAUUCAUGAGGUUAUAUGAGGAGCAGUGGAUAUGAAUAUCACACGCACAUAUGGGAAACAUCAUCAGAUCCUGCCUGUCUGUAAUUGAAAGCUGCAUGCAGUUCUACACAGUAGAACUGGACCUUAAACAUGUGCUGAAUUUUGCAAUUGCUUUUCUCCUAGACUAAAAAAUUCUGGGCAAAUUUUGCUAGAGUCCUAACCACAAGGCUAAAGAGUGUUGGGUGGAAAAUUGUGCAAUGCAAAUCUAUAGCCCUGUAUUUUAAGACUGCAAAAAGUAGGUGACAGACAUAGAAUGGAAAAUUUAAAUUCCUAAUGACUGCUCUGUUAUGCAGCAAUUAAGCACCAGUGUUUGCUAGGCCUUGCAAUAGGCAUAGGGGAAUAACAAUAAGCCAAAUGGAUAAGACUCCCAAGGGAUGUCAUUCAGUAACUACUUGGAAAUGAGAAAAACUCACUACAAAACAGUGAAACUAGUACCUAAAGUAAAUUUAUUAUAGUGAAACUCUUCAUGAAACAACCAGGAAGAAAUUGAAGAAUGGAAGUGACAUGCAUAUUAAAUAUAAAUCACAGAAAGAAAUGUUUGCUCAAUCUGAAGUUUUCCCUUUCAGUGAAAGCUCAUUAGUUAGUGUCUAAUAAUUUUAUAUUUAACUUCCAUAAAUAAACUAAUGUGAAAGUGAUACAGUGGCCUCCCAAUUCCAAAAGAAAGAAACAAAGAAGAAGAAAGGAGGAAAAGAUUGUGUGUAGGAACAUGCAUAAACAUGGGUUUCCUAAUCUUCUAUUAAAUGCCACCAAUCUCCCUGAGGAACAUGCAUAAAACAGAUAGAAGGAGACCAUGGCAGAUGAAGAGAAGAUGGAAAGAAGGCUGGAGAUUCAGGCUCUAAACCCUGCCAUGCUUGAGAGUUCUUUUACCUUUGCUUUUUCUGGUUCAUUGUAAUCAUGAACUCAGGAAAACAGUGACCACAAGGACAGCAAUUGGUGGGACACUGCUAUUUUAAUUUUUCUUUUCUUUAUUGUUUUUAAUGACAGGGUUUCACUGUGUAGCCCUGGCUGUCCUGGAACUUGAUCUGUAUGCCAGGUUGGCCACAGACUCAGAGAUCCUCCUGCCUCUGCCUCCUGAGUUCUGGGAUUAAAGCCAUGCACCGCCAUAUUCUACAGCCAAACAUCACAGAAGGAACUGUGUCUGCGUUCUAACCCAUACUUAUAAAAGUCAACUUGGAAGCCUGCUGAGAUUAAAUAAGGAGUCCUGAUGCCCUUUCCUCAAUAUCAGAAGAAUAGUAUAAGACAAGUCUAAGGAAGGGUUAAGAGAGAGGGUUCUGGGGGAGGGGAAAAUGAAAAAAGAUGUAAUAAUUCACACACACACACACACACACACACACACACACAAUGAUGGCAAUGUAAAAACCACUAAUUUUAAGCUAACUUAAAAAGUUAAUAAAAUAAGAACAUAAGUGUAUAGAAUAAAUCUCUAAAUAUUAACAAUUGAAAUAA